GUUGUUUGUUUAUUUAUUGCUAGGCUACUGCUCUGCCUGUGCCGGGCAGGGAGCUGAUAAGCGCGAGGGCUGCUCCGAAGGGAGGUGUAGGAGGAGCAGGGCCUCGGGCUGCCUCAUAUCAACCCGUCCUCCGAGCAUCCCACCCGCACACCGGGUGCCCCCCGAGAGGUUCGUCUGCUGGGCUACGUGCUGGAGGAGCUGCUGUCCGAGGAGCUGGCGUGCUCUUCCCUCAGUAUCUCAGGAUCACAGAAUCACAGAAUCGUCUAGGUUGGAAGAGACCUCCAAGGAUUCCAAUACCUGCUUGUCUUGCAAUACAACUGUUGCUAAUUCCAGCUAUGAAGAGAUGACUAGAGAUCUUGGGUCUGUCCUGGCUCGGUGCCUCUUAUUGAUUCCUGUUUGGAUUAAAGCCAGGAACGGAGCUCAGCAUUCCUGAUCAUCGACCUCCUGUUGCUGGUUGUGCAGCAUCCUAGCAAAAUGCGUGCGGAAUCGUGCUCCAGGUGUGAAUCGUCAGCGAGGCUCAGGCUCAUCCUGCGGUUCCAGACUGGUGAACUGUGCUGAG